rnacentral:tRNA from 1 species
UAUACAUAAGUGUAAGUUGCACAAAGAAUUUUGAUUUCUUUAGAUUUAGUUAAAUCCUAAAAUGUAUAA